UAUGAUCCAGAGUACCACGGGACACGUGAAACCCUGUGGGAAGCAGGAGGGACCACCCUCCAAGGCUAAAUACUACCUAGUGACCGAUAGCGUAUAGUACCGUGAGGGAAAGGUGAAAAGAACCCCGGGAGGGGAGUGAAAUAGAACCUGAAACCCUGCACUUACAAGCUGUGGAAGCACAUUUCUUGUGUGACCGCGUACUUUUUGUAGAACGGGCCAACGAGUUACGUUAAGUAGCAAGGUUAAGCACUUAAGGUGUGGAGCCGUAGCGAAAGCGAGUUUUAACUGAGCGUUCAGUUACUUGACGUAGACCCGAAACCGGGCGACCUACCCAUGAGCAGGAUGAAGCGAAAGUAAAAUUUCGUGGAGGUCCGAACCCACGAGCGUUGAAAAGCUCGGGGAUGACUUGUGGGUAGCGGUGAAAUUCCAAUCGAGCCCGGAGAUAGCUGGUUCUCCCCGAAAUAGCUUUAGGGCUAGCCUCAAGGUGAGAGAUACGGAGGUAGAGCACUGAAUGUCCUAGGGGGUAUUGCACCUACCGAAGACUAUCAAACUCCGAAUGCCGUCAUCUUAUACUUGGGAGUCAGACUGUGGGUGAUAAGAUUCAUAGUCGAAAGGGCAACAGCCCAGAUCGUCAGCUAAGGUCCCUAAAUGUAAGUUAAGUGGUAAAGGAUGUGGGAUUGCACAGACAACCAGGAUGUUGGCUUAGAAGCAGCCACUCAUUCAAAGAGUGCGUAAUAGCUCACUGGUCGAGUGAUCCUGCGCCGAAGAUUUCCGGGGCUAAAACUUACUACCGAAGCUACGGCAUCAGUAAUGAUGGGUAGGGGAGCUUCCCAUACGGGUUGAAGCAUGACCGUAAGGACAUGUGGACAGUAUGGGAGUGAGAAUGUUGGCAUGAGUAGCGAGAUGUGGGUGAGAAUCCCACAGGCCGUAAACCCAAGGUUUCCAGGGGAAGGUUCGUCCGCCCUGGGUUAGUCGGGACCUAAGCUGAGGCCGAAAGGCGUAGGUGAUGGACAACAGGUUGAUAUUCCUGUACUACCGAUAACCGUUUGAGAGAAGGGAUGACACAGUAGGAUAAGCUAAGCACACUGUUGGUUAUGUGUGCCCAAGCAUUGAGGCAGUCAAAGUAGGCAAAUCCGCUUUGAUAAUGCUGGGAUGUGAUGGGGAGCGAAAUUUAGUAGCGAAGUAGCUGAUUUCACACUGUCAAGAAAAGUCUCUAUCGAGGUUAAAGGUACCCGUACCGCAAACCGACACAGGUGGGUGAGGAGAGUAUCCUAAGGCCAGCGAGAGAACUGUUGUUAAGGAACUCGGCAAAAUGACCCCGUAACUUAGGGAUAAGGGGUGCCACCAUCAGGUGGCCGCAGAGAAUAGGCCCAAGCGACUGUUUACCAAAAACAUAGGUUUCUGCUAAGUCGCAAGACGAUGUAUAGGAGCUGACGCCUGCCCGGUGCUGGAAGGUUAAGGGGAUCUGUUAGAGCAAUCGAAGCAGUGAACUUAAGCCCCAGUAAACGGCGGCCGUAACUAUAACGGUCCUAAGGUAGCGAAAUUCCUUGUCGGGUAAGUUCCGACCCGCACGAAAGGCGUAACGAUUUGGGCACUGUCUCAACAACAGACUCGGUGAAAUUGUAAUUCCGGUGAAGAUGCCGGAUACCUGCGACAGGACGGAAAGACCCCAUGGAGCUUUACUGUAGCUUGACAUUGGGUCUUGGUACUACAUGUACAGGAUAGGUGGGAGGCUUUGAAACCAGGACGCCAGUUUUGGCGGAGCCAUCCUUGGGAUACCACCCUUGUAGUACUGGGACUCUAACCAUAGGCCAUGAAUCUGGUCUUGGGACACUGUCAGGUGGGCAGUUUGACUGGGGCGGUCGCCUCCCAAAAGGUAACGGAGGCGCUCAAAGGUUCUCUCAGUACGGUCGGAAAUCGUACGUAGAGUGUAAAGGCAAAAGAGAGCUUGAUUGCAAGACAUACAGGUCGAGCAAGGAUGAAAAUCGGACUUAGUGAUCCGGUGGUUCUGCGUGGAAGGGCCAUCGCUCAACGGAUAAAAGCUACCCUGGGGAUAACAGGCUUAUCUCCCCCAAGAGUCCACAUCGACGGGGAGGUUUGGCACCUCGAUGUCGGCUCAUCACAUCCUGGGGCUGUAGUAGGUCCCAAGGGUUGGGCUGUUCGCCCAUUAAAGUGGUACGCGAGCUGGGUUCAGAACGUCGUGAGACAGUUCGGUCCCUAUCCGUCGCAGGCGUAGGAAAUUUGAGAAGACCUGUCCUUAGUACGAGAGGACCGGGAUGGACGUACCUCUGGUGUACCAGUUGUCCUGCCAAGGGCAUGGCUGGGUAGCUAUGUACGGAAUGGAUAAGCGCUGAAAGCAUCUAAGCGCGAAGCCAACUUCAAGAUAAGAUUUCCCACCGCAAGGGUAAGACCCCAGAAAGACUAUCUGGUUGAUAGGUCGAAGGUGUAAGUGCAGCAAUGUAUUUAGCUUAUCGAUACUAAUAGGUCGAGGACUUGACCAA
rnacentral:rRNA from 2 species